AGUGAUCUGGUGGUCCCGCAUGGAAGGGCCAUCGCUUAACGAAUAAAAGGUACGCUGGGGAUAACAGGCUGAUUUUGUCCGAGAGCUCAUAUCGACGACAAAGUUUGGCACCUCGAUGUCGACUCUUCGCAUCCUGGGGGUGAAGUUGCUCCCAAGGGUUCGGCUGUUCGCCGAUUAAAGCGGAACGUGAGUUGGGUUCAAAACGUCGUGAGACAGUUUGGUCCCUAUCUGCCGUAGGCGUUUGGAAAAUUGAAAGGAGCUGUUCUUAGUACGAGAGGACCAGAAUGGACAUACCUAUGGUGUAUCAGUUGUUUUGCCAGAGGCAUCGCUGAGUAGCUACGUAUGGAAGGGAUAACCGCUGAAAGCAUCUAAGUGGGAAGCCUACCUUAAGAUUAAUUUUCCCCAUUAGGGUCGUAGUAGACUACUACGUUGAUAGGUUGGGUGUGUAAGUGGAGCAAUCCAUUGAGCUAACCAAUACUAAUAACCCGAUUGAUUUCUUUUA
rnacentral:rRNA from 1 species